CUUGAGGCGGGUCCCAAGGAGGGGCGGGACCAUAAAUAAAGGGGGCGGGGUCCCAGGAGAAAGGGUUAUUGGCUGGGGGCGGGGGCAGAGACGCGACCACAAGUGGGCGGUCCCAAAACUGGGGCGAGGCCACAAAAGGGGCAGAACAAGAGGCGGGCUACUCGCCGAGGUGGGGGGCGUAGGGAGGCCUCCCGGGUUGACGAGGCGGGGCAGGGCCACAAUGGGGAGGAGAGGAGACGGGUCAUUGGCUCGGGGCGUGGCCUGGGGCUGUUCCUGGGCGUGGCAGAGGCAAGCCCUGGGGCGGGCCGGAGUCGUAGAUGGGUGGGUGGGGAAAGGCAGGUCCCUGGCGUGUCGAGGGCGUGGCGUAGGCUGGGACAUUGAAAAAGGGAGGCGGGCCACAAGUGGGCGGGGAAGGGCGAGCCUCUAGAGGGAAAGAGGUCAGGGGCUUGGCUUGGACGCGUCCCAGGGCUAUGGGUAGGGCUGGCGGUUGGAGGGAGGGUGGAUAACUAGCCGUGGGCGUGGCUUGUGGCGGGGUGGGGCGGGGGGGGGGUAGGCCACAGGUGGAGAGGGGACGGGUCACUAGCCUGGGGGUGGCCUGGUUGGUCUUGGGCGUAGAAUGGGCCGAGUGGACCUGGCUGGACUUGGACCCUCCCUGGGCUGGCGCCCUUCCCCCUCCUCUCCCCGCGGGGCUUGGAAGGGCUUGGCCUGCCGGGAGAGCAAAGCCGACAGUCUCCUGUCCUGUCCCUCUCGAGUCCCGGCCCUGGGCAAGCCUUGGGCAAGCCUGCCCAGCACCUGUCUGGGCUCCUCACCAGGUGCGCCUUCUUUCCUGCCCACUGAGGAAUCCAUGUGCCAGUCUGCGGGUCCGAAUACCCAGGUGACCAAGACUGUCUGAAGAGCUACCAGGCUGUCCUCAGAAGACACGAUGUCUCAGGUGUUUUUGUUUUAUUACCCUUUCUCCAGACUUCCUGGGCUUCGUUCAUUGUGCUUUGUUCGUAUUAGGGUCAUUUUCGUGAAGCUGACCCUUCUGUCUCAUCUGUGCAUUUGGGGCCUAUCCUUAGCAAGAUUAUUUCUUCCAGUGCAGCAUCACACAGCACGAGCGGUCACAGGCACCGCAGUGACCUCCGAUGGCCCAGGAGUGACCCCAGUUCCUGCCAGCCCUGGGAGGAAAAAAGCAGCUCGUCUCAUGCCCCCGCCCUUGACACACGAGACAAUCCACGUCUGCUGGCAUAUUAUCAUACGUUAGCAGAUCUCUGAGAGCCAAACUGCAGACCACAGCAGCUGGGCCGGGGCCUGGAGCGGGCCCGGGAUCCUCCCCCUGGAUGGGACCAGCCUGCCUCGAAUUCCCCACACACUGUGUUCCAGGCACUUCCCCCUUCAUUAGCACUGUGUGUGCCAUUCACCACCCUCUCCAUCGCUGUCACCGCGGUCCUUCCCGUGAGAAGUGCACCCAGGGGCCUGCAUUUAUAAAUAAGUCCGUGGUGUUUGUUGGAGGAUGACGGGAGCAGAGAGAGCAGCCUUGGAAUUAUCAUCCGCUUGGAAUGAUGUCAGAUCAAGCCCUGGGAAGCCUUAUGCUGCCCAGCCUUCCUGACUGUCUCACACACACACACACACACACACACACACACCCCAGAGAGUAGGGGCUGGUGGCCAUGUUAUCUCCGGCUGGAGCGUGGGGUCGGGGCAGGGAG
rnacentral:lncRNA from 1 species